ensembl:lncRNA
CCAACAACCGGAUUUGGUGUGUGGUAGUAACAGGCAAGUGAGCCACAAGUACAGGACUCUGGCGAGAAAAAGCCCCAGAACUUCCUGGACUAUAACAAGUGCAUAGGGGCUGUGGAUCAUCUGGACCAGGCACUACUGUUCAUAGAGCAGGUUGGCGGAACCCUUAUCACCCCGACCAUGGUGAAGAGAAGCCACCUGCCUAGAACACCGUUUGCAGCCAGCCUGGUCUUACAGGCCCAGGGCAAAGAGCAACAGCAGGAGGAGGAGGAGCGUUCCAAAAAGCUGAAGCAAGGCACAUCGUGCAAACAGCGCAGAAGGAUCCUAACCAACUGCUGCAAAUGUGGUGCCCCUCUCUGAAAAUCCAUCUGAAAA